AACUUAACGCCGCCUGAGCUCUUUCUCUUACCUCUCUCUUCACGCGUCUCUCCCCUCUCUCCUAUCCCCCAUUUCCAUUUUAAGUUGAAACCUACUCUCCCUUUAGCAAUGGCAGAUUUUGCCUAUCCAUUUUCGUGCAACGUAGCCUUCUCUCUCCUUCACUCUCUCUCUACCCGACAAACUUGGCAAAAUUCACAGAUUGUUUUCACCCUCACAGACCUGCUACUCCCUUUCUAUACAAGUCUGCUCUCUUCAGCAAUCGAGUCAACACAAAGAGACGAAAUGCCUUUCUGAAAAUCGAUUGGUAAGAGACAGCGAUUUAAUCGAAAUUCAAACGGAUAUAUCACUUGAAAUCCCGCUCAUUUUUUUUGAAGGACAAAACCCUAAAUCAUCCUAUAAAUACCCACGUUUUGAUUCAACAAAGGGAGCUCUUUUCAGCCGCCUAGAGCCGCCUUGAAAUUUCUAUAUUUCUCAUCACUAUUAUCUCGGUGAUAUGCAUUUAAAAUAUUGAGGUUUUUACAAAAUAUAACUGGGUUUCAACAAAAUCCAAUUUUCAGUUGCGACUUCCAUUGAGUCUACAUUUAGUCUACGUUUUUUUCUGUUUUGUUGAGUUCGGGUUCGUCGUGAUCGAGCGAAGAUCCGUGAUCCCGCACCUCAGUUCACUGCACCCACGAGAGAGUUCGUGACAAGCUCUACUUCGACCCCUCAUGAGUGAUCCCGAGGCCAGCAUUCGAGUGUCCAGGGUGAGCAUCUGACGAACGCGCUGCCCGGAGACUCAUCUAUCUCUGUCUUUACUUACUUCCAUUCAGACAAAUAUUUUUCACUUUUGGACUUGUAUUUCUAGACAUUUACUUAGAUGCUCUUGUAUGAUUCAGACCAGAGCUGGGGGUUGUAUUUAGAUUCCGCACUUAUAUUUAUUUAUGAUUUAGACUA